rnacentral:rRNA from 1 species
GCCAGACUCCUACGGGAGGCAGCAGUAGGGAAUUUUGCGCAAUGGGCGAAAGCCUGACGCAGCAACGCCGCGUGAUCGAGACGCCCUUCGGGGUGUAAAGAUCUGUCAGUGGGGACGAAACUUGACGGUACCCACAGAGGAAGCACCGGCUAACUCCGUGCCAGCAGCCGCGGUAAUACGGGGGAUGCAAGCGUUAUCCGGAUUUAUUGGGUUUAAAGGGUGCGUAGGCUGUGAGGUAAGUCAGCGGUGAAAUGCCCCCGCUCAACGGGGUGAAGUGCCAUUGAUACUGCCUUGCUGGAAUGCGGAUGCCGUGGGAGGAAUGUGUGGUGUAGCGGUGAAAUGCAUAGAUAUCACACAGAACACCGAUUGCGAAGGCAUCUCACGAAUCCGCGAUUGACGCUGAUGCACGAAAGCGUGGGUAUCAAACAGGAUUAGAUACCCCCGUA